UACGUAGGGUGCGAGCGUUAAUCGGAAUUACUGGGCGUAAAGCGUGCGCAGGCGGUUCGUUGUGUCUGUGGUGAAAGCCCCGGGCUUAACCUGGGAAUGGCCAUGGAAACUGGCGAGCUGGAGUGUGGCAGAGGGGGGUGGAAUUCCGCGUGUAGCAGUGAAAUGCGUAGAGAUGCGGAGGAACACCGAUGGCGAAGGCAGCCCCCUGGGCUAGCACUGACGCUCAGGCACGAAAGCGUGGGGAGCAAACAGG
rnacentral:rRNA from 1 species